AUUGAACGCUGGCGGCAUGCCUUACACAUGCAAGUCGAACGGCAGCACGGGAGCAAUCCUGGUGGCGAGUGGCGAACGGGUGAGUAAUAUAUCGGAACGUGCCCGGUCGUGGGGAUAACGUAGCGAAAGCUACGCUAAUACCGCAUACGAUCUACGGAUGAAAGCGGGGGAUCGCAAGACCUCGCGCGAUUGGAGCGGCCGAUAUCAGAUUAGGUAGUUGGUGAGGUAAAGGCUCACCAAGCCGACGAUCUGUAGCUGGUCUGAGAGGACGACCAGCCACACUGGGACUGAGACAGGCCCAGACUCCUACGGGAGGCAGCAGUGGGAAUUUUGGACAAUGGGCGCAAGCCUGAUCCAGCAAUGCCGCGUGCAGGAUGAAGGCCUUCGGGUUGUAACUGCUUUGUUACGGAACGAACGG
rnacentral:rRNA from 1 species